rnacentral:snRNA from 1 species
UGCCGCUCACGCCCGGUCGUA